CAAGGAAUCUUCCGCAAUGGGCGAAAGCCUGACGGAGCGACACAGCGUGCAGGAAUGAAGGCCUUCGGGUUGUAAACUGCUUUUAUCUCUGAAGAUUAUGACGGUAAGAGAUGAAUAAGGACCGGCAAACUACGUGCCAGCAGCCGCGGUAAUACGUAGGGUCCAAGCGUUACUCGGAUUUACUGGGCGUAAAGCGUGUGUAGGCGGUCUGUUAAGCGGGGUGUGAAAUCUUGAGGCUCAACUUCAAGACUGUGCCCCGAACUGGCAGACUCGAGUACUGAAGAGGUUAGCGGAAUUAGUAGUGUAGGGGUGAAAUCCGUAGAUAUUACUAAGAACACCAAUGGCGAAGGCAGCUAACUGGGCAGUCACUGACGCUAAGACACGAAAGCGUGGGGAGCGAACGGG
rnacentral:rRNA from 1 species